ensembl:snRNA U6 U6 spliceosomal RNA
GUGCUUGCUUUGGCAGGAUAUAUGCUCAAAUUGGAAUGAUACAGAGAAGAUUAGCAUGGCCCCUGCACAAGGGUGACAUGCAAAUUCUUGAAGCGUUUCAUGUUUUU